AGCGAGUCCAGUCCGUGGCUGCUGACUCUUUACAGCACUCUACUUGGAGUCUGUAAGCCGCCCGGACUUUCAGCCGGACUGACAAGUGGAGUAUCUGUGUCAGUGUACGUUACUCAUCCGUCGUUGGGUCAGGGUCUGCGGGAUGGACCCCCGCAAUGUACAGUGAAACAGCUGCCUCGUUCACCCCUGCAAGAGAAGAGAGGUUUAUUUGGUGGAGAAAUUGAACUAGAGGCUCCAUACUGAAGGACACCCAAAGCAUAGCAGGAGAGCAAGAGAGGCUGGCACUAAAAUAGAGCUAUCCACUUAUUCCAGUUCAGUGUUGAAGAUGGCUGGAGCCCAUCCCAGUAGCUCAGGGCAGAAGGCAGGAACCAACCCUGGGUAAGAUGUCAUGUCAUUGCAGAGCUCACUCACACACAUCCACUGAUAUAAUUUGGGUCUGUGUCUCUGCCCACAUUUCAUGUCAAAUUAUAACCCCAGUGUUGAAGGUUGGACCUGGUGGGAAGUAAUUGGAUCAUGUGGGUUGAUUUCCUCUUGGGUGCUGUUCUCCUGAUAGUGAGUGAGGUCUCAUGAGUUCUGGUUGUUUAAAAGUGUGUAGCACCUCCCACCUUGCUCUCCUUCUCCUGCUCUGUCCAUGUAAGAUGUGCCUGCUUCCCCUUCAACUUCUGCCAUGACUGUAGGUUUCCUGAGGCCUCCCCAACCAUGCUUAUUGUGCAGCCUGUAGAACCAUGAGCCAAUUAAACUUCUUUUCUUUAUAAAUUACCAUUCUCAGGUAGUUCUUUAUAAUAGUGCGAGAAUGUAUUAAUACAGAAAAUUGGUACCGGGGAAGUUGGGCAUUGCUAUUAGAGGUACUGAGAGGUACUUAGAGAAAGAAGAAAUAAAAACUAAAAGAGAAAACAAGUUUUCCUGUAUUAGGCUGUGUCAUCCCAAAAAGCAGUGACAGACACAGCCCAGGCCCAGGCAAGGUCCUGAUAACACUAUCUAAAAAGUCAGAACCCAAAAGGAAUGUUCUCUUGAGACUCUCCCAGCACUCCCCAACAUAAGGAUAAGAAAAACAAAAUUCCUCUUUUAGCCCUUUACCCACUCCCCAUAAAUAUUUUGCAAGUUUUGUAAGUUCCGGUUUCUCCUUCAAUGCAGCUGCAAGGUCACAAGCUAUGCUGGAUAUUACGAGACCUGUCACUAUUUAAUUAACUGUCCUUGUUCUGCUUCUGUAAGCUUGCUUAUGAAAAUCAAGCCCUUUCUUUGUUCUAGGCUCAGCUUUUUGGAUAUGAAUCCACUGAGCCAUUGUAC
rnacentral:lncRNA from 10 species